UACAGAGGGUGCGAGCGUUGUUCGGAAUUAUUGGGCGUAAAGGGCGCGUAGGCGGUGCGGCAAGUCACCUGUGAAACCUCUGGGCUUAACCCAGAGCCUGCAGGCGAAACUGCCGUGCUGGAGUGUGGGAGAGGUGCGUGGAAUUCCCGGUGUAGCGGUGAAAUGCGUAGAUAUUGGGAGGAACACCAGUGGCGAAGGCGGCUCACUGGACCGGUACUGACGCUGAUGCGCGAAAGCGUGGGGAGCAAACGGG
rnacentral:rRNA from 1 species